CUUUUAUAUCCUUGCUGAUUUUCUGUCUAGUUUUUAAAUCACUUGCUAAAAGAGGAACAUUGAAGUCUCAAACUAUAAUUGUGGGUUUACCUAGUUCUACUUUUAAUUGUUCCAGGCCUUGCUAUGACUUCAUAAAGAGCACACAGGACUUGGAGCCAAAUGAACCUGGUUGCAGUGAGAGGUUUCAGCCCCCAUCAGCCAAAUGCUCUUGAGCAGGCCUCAUCUGGAAAAUAAUGACUGUGUCUCAAAGGAUGACGAAGAGGAAUAAAUGAGCAAUGUGUUUCAAUGAGACAGUAUCGGCUGCGUCAAUGAUUGUAGUGCUAAUUGUUACAGACAUGACCACAAUGCCAAGGCGAAUGGGGACAAUGAAAUCCAUGGCUGGUUUUAAGGGCAGGUGCAGAGGAUCCAGCAUGUUAUUCUGAAACCCCAGAAGACGCUGCAGCUACCAAAUAGAAGGAGCCUGGAUCCCUGAAUGUCUUCAUGGAACAGAACAUUCUCCUCACUCCAGUCUGUUUGAACCAGAAUAUGACCUGAGCAAGAAAUAAGCCUUAAUUAUAUUUGACCAUAGAAUUCUGGUGAUAUUUCUAUGGCUGUAAGUCCAUGUUGAUUAAUACAAAGGGAUGCUGUAAAGCCUCUUCUAUUAAAAAAAGUUGCCCAAGGA